rnacentral:rRNA from 1 species
CAUGAUGAACGCUAGCUACAGGCUUAACACAUGCAAGUCGAGGGGCAGCAUGGUCUUAGCUUGCUAAGGCCGAUGGCGACCGGCGCACGGGUGAGUAACACGUAUCCAACCUGCCGUCUACUCUUGGACAGCCUUCUGAAAGGAAGAUUAAUACAAGAUGGCAUCAUGAGUCCGCAUGUUCACAUGAUUAAAGGUAUUCCGGUAGACGAUGGGGAUGCGUUCCAUUAGAUAGUAGGCGGGGUAACGGCCCACCUAGUCUUCGAUGGAUAGGGGUUCUGAGAGGAAGGUCCCCCACAUUGGAACUGAGACACGGUCCAAACUCCUACGGGAGGCAGCAGUGAGGAAUAUUGGUCAAUGGGCGAGAGCCUGAACCAGCCAAGUAGCGUGAAGGAUGACUGCCCUAUGGGUUGUAAACUUCUUUUAUAAAGGAAUAAAGUCGGGUAUGGAUACCCGUUUGCAUGUACUUUAUGAAUAAGGAUCGGCUAACUCCGUGCCAGCAGCCGCGGUAAUACGGAGGAUCCGAGCGUUAUCCGGAUUUAUUGGGUUUAAAGGGAGCGUAGAUGGAUGUUUAAGUCAGUUGUGAAAGUUUGCGGCUCAACCGUAAAAUUGCAGUUGAUACUGGAUAUCUUGAGUGCAGUUGAGGCAGGCGGAAUUCGUGGUGUAGCGGUGAAAUGCUUAGAUAUCACGAAGAACUCCGAUUGCGAAGGCAGCCUGCUAAGCUGCAACUGACAUUGAGGCUCGAAAGUGUGGGUAUCAAACAGGAUUAGAUACCCUGGUAGUCCACACGGUAAACGAUGAAUACUCGCUGUUUGCGAUAUACUGCAAGCGGCCAAGCGAAAGCGUUAAGUAUUCCACCUGGGGAGUACGCCGGCAACGGUGAAACUCAAAGGAAUUGACGGGGGCCCGCACAAGCGGAGGAACAUGUGGUUUAAUUCGAUGAUACGCGAGGAACCUUACCCGGGCUUAAAUUGCAGAUGAAUUACGGUGAAAGCCGUAAGCCGCAAGGCAUCUGUGAAGGUGCUGCAUGGUUGUCGUCAGCUCGUGCCGUGAGGUGUCGGCUUAAGUGCCAUAACGAGCGCAACCCUUGUUGUCAGUUACUAACAGGUUCCGCUGAGGACUCUGACAAGACUGCCAUCGUAAGAUGUGAGGAAGGUGGGGAUGACGUCAAAUCAGCACGGCCCUUACGUCCGGGGCUACACACGUGUUACAAUGGGGGGUACAGAGGGCCGCUACCACGCGAGUGGAUGCCAAUCCCCAAAACCUCUCUCAGUUCGGACUGGAGUCUGCAACCCGACUCCACGAAGCUGGAUUCGCUAGUAAUCGCGCAUCAGCCACGGCGCGGUGAAUACGUUCCCGGGCCUUGUACACACCGCCCGUCAAGCCAUGGGAGCCGGGGGUACCUGAAGUGCGUAACCGCGAGGAGCGCCCUAGGGUAAAACUGG